GACGAACGCUGGCGGCGUGCCUAAUACAUGCAAGUAGAACGCUGAAGGAGGAGCUUGCUCUUCUGGAUGAGUUGCGAACGGGUGAGUAACGCGUAGGUAACCUGCCUGGUAGCGGGGGAUAACUAUUGGAAACGAUAGCUAAUACCGCAUAAGAGUAGAUGUCGCAUGACAUUUGCUUAAAAGGUGCAAUUGCAUCACUACCAGAUGGACCUGCGUUGUAUUAGCUAGUUGGUGAGGUAACGGCUCACCAAGGCAACGAUACAUAGCCGACCUGAGAGGGUGAUCGGCCACACUGGGACUGAGACACGGCCCAGACUCCUACGGGAGGCAGCAGUAGGGAAUCUUCGGCAAUGGACGGAAGUCUGACCGAGCAACGCCGCGUGAGUGAAGAAGGUUUUCGGAUCGUAAAGCUCUGUUGUAAGAGAAGAACGAGUGUGAGAGUGGAAAGUUCACACUGUGACGUAUCUACCAGAAAGGACG
rnacentral:rRNA from 1 species